AACCUUUAGCACAAUGCUAGAAACAUAAAAGUCACUUAGUAAAUUCUUGCUUCCUUCCUUCCUUCCAGACAUGGGGAGAAUGGCUAUUGAAAAGACACAGAGAUAGGAGAUCAAGUGUCCUGGCAAAGAAAAAUAAAAGAAAACGAUCAUUCAAGACCCAGAAGAAGAAAACAGAAUUCAGCAACUCUAUAGAUGAGGAAAUUGAGGCUACAAAAAAAGUAGAAGACAUUCAAGGGCCACUCACAGAGGACUACAUAAACAAAGGGUGUUCCCAAUAACGUGUUCUCAAUGGAGAAUUUUCAUUCACAAACUCUCUUCCUGACAACUCUCCCUGCCCCAUUCACUGCAAAGCAAAGAUAGAUGCCUGGGAAUAAAAACACCAAAGACUACUAGGUUGUUGGUUUU
rnacentral:lncRNA from 1 species